rnacentral:lncRNA from 1 species
AUGACUACUCCAGGAAGCGGGGUCAGAGGAGGCCACACAGCGCAGAGCCGACUCCAGCUGCUGAUUAGCCCUCUCAGUCUGUCCGUUAGAUUGCGGGUGAUAGCCCGAGGAAAGGCUCACCCCCACCCCCAAAACAGCACAAAAAGCCCUCCACACCCGAGAAACAAACUGAGGCCCCCUGUCAGAUACAAUGUCCAAAGGUAUCCCAUGCAACCGAAAGACAUGGUCCACCAGCAAACGAGCAGUCUCGAGGGCCGAAGGGAGCUUAGAAAGAGGGACAAAAUGCGCCGCCUUGGAGAACCUGUCGACAAUGGUGAGGAUGACCGAGUGGUUAGAGGAACGCGGCAGCCCAGUAACAAAGUCCACCGCAAUAUGCGACCAGGGCCGACCCGGAACAGGCAGGGGAUGCAGCAGCCCGGGAGGGGCCAGGUGGCGGCUCUUAUUGCGCGCACAGGUGUCACAGGCCAGCACAUAUUCACGGGCAUCACUCGCCAAAGUGGGCCACCAAAAAGAGCGCCGCAACAGAGAAACCGUACGACGCACACCAGGGUGACAGGCGAGUCGAGAAGCGUGCACCCAAUGCAGAACGCGCGCACGCACGGCCGAUGGAACAAACAGCUUACCCGGCGGACCCGAACCAGGGUCCGGUUCCCGCAGCUGCGCACGGCGCACCAGGCCCUCAAUACCCCACGUCAGGGCCCCCACCACACAGGACGAGGGGACGAUAGUAGCCGCCCCAGUAGACUCAAAGUCGGGAGAAAAUUGACGAGACAAAGCGUCAGGCUUAGUGUUGCGGGAACCCGGUCGAAAAGAGAUAGUAAAAUUAAACCGGCUAAAAAACAGCUGCCACCGGGCCUGCCUGGAAUUAAGCCGCUUUGCACUCCGAAUGUAGGAAAGAUUUUUAUGAUCAGUCCAAACCACGAACGGCUGACCCGUCCCCUCCAACCAAUGACGCCAUUCCUCCAAAGCCAGCUUAACCGCCAGCAGCUCUCGGUUUCCCACGUCAUAGUUCCGCUCAGCAGAAGAAAACCGCCGCGAAAAAAACGCGCAGGGAUGAAGGCGGCCAUCGUCGGGUGA